rnacentral:rRNA from 1 species
AACGAACGCUGGCGGCAUGCCUAACACAUGCAAGUCGAACGAGACCAUCGGGUCUAGUGGCGCACGGGUGCGUAAGGCGUAGGAACCUGCCCUUAGGUUCGGAAUAACUCCCCGAAAGGGGUGCUAAUAUCGGCUAAUGUCUCAGGACCACAGCUUUGUUGCGCUUGGAUGGGUCCGCGUUGGAUUAGCUAGUUGGUACGGUAAAAGCCUACCAAGGUGACGAUCCAUAGCUGGUCUGAGAGGAUGAGCAGCAACUCUGGGACUGGGAUACGGCCCGGACUCCUGCAGGAGGCAGCAGUGGGUAAUAUUGGACAAUGGGGUGAAGCCUGAUCGAGCUAGGCCUCGUAAGUGAUGAAGUCCGUAGGGUUGUGAAGCUUUUUUACACGGGAUGAUAAUGACGGUACCGGAAGAAUAAGCACCGGCUAACUACGUG